GUGUGAAAUUAAUUAAAUUAUUUUUUUUAAACUGGUCAAAUACACUCAGUAUAUUUGGGAUUAAAUUAAAGUAGCAUGUUACAAUGAGUUGACAAUCACAGUACCAUUCAUGUGGCAGCUUAAGAGAGAACCUUGUCUAGUAUUGGACGAGAUUUGCACAUGACCUCCAAGGGUAUAACUUUGGUCAUAUUGAUUGUUGUCUUUUCAGUCAUAUCGAUCUCCUUACCAUCAACCGUUUCCCACUUAAAGCAUUGAAUCAAUGAACCCAAAGUCAAGCCCAUUGUUCUAUUUGCCAAGCCUUCUCCAGGACAAGCUCUCCUUCCCAACCCAAAAGGCAAGAACUUGAAUGCUUUAGCUUUCCCAUUCUCAAAUCUCUCUGGUUUAAAACUUGUUGGGUCUUCCCACAACUUAGGAUCUCUUUGAAUGGCCCAAAUGUUUGCAAAUAAUAUUGUAUUGGAGGGCACAUGGAAUCCCCCAAUGGUGCAAUCAUCAGAUGACAAGUGAGGCACUAGAAGUGGAGCAACUGGACACAGUCUCAAGUUCUCUAGGAUGAUGCUCUGAAGAUAGUUUAAUUUUGGCAAAUCUGAUUCAUCUAUCAAUCGGUCUUCACCAAUCUGAGUGUUUAUCUCUACUCUAGCCUUUUUUAAAACAUUCGGAUUGUUGAGCAAAUUUGAUAUUGCCCAUUCUAAAGCCGUAGAUGAGGUUUCUGUUCCAGCAGUCAGCAAAACCAGAAUCAGGCCUUUGAUUAUUUCAUCUGUAUAGUAUUGAGGUUGAGAUUCCUGUAGAGCAAGCAAGUGAUUUAUCAUUGUAUUUCUAUCCUCAUUAUGUCGAUGCUCUUCAAUCAGUUCUUGAAAGGAUGAGUCAAUCUUUUCAGCAAGUCUAACCAGCUUUUUUAUAAAUCCACCAUAAUCAAUCCACUGUAGAAUAGGAAACAAAUCACCUAGAUUUGUAACCUCAGUAUAUGCAAAGAACUCCUCUAUUAUCUCCCUAAACUUGUUCGCCUCCUCUCUGCUUGAUUCUAUCACUUCUUCGCCAUAGUAACGCUUCCCAGCAAUCAUUCUCAUUAUUACGUUAGUGGUCAGGUCGCAAAAGGCUGAUCUUAGCUCUACCUUGGCAAAGCCCUGGGAAGAAACUCGAUGAAGUCUACCAAGUAAUGCACUGACUUCUUCAUUUCGGAUGCUUCGAAACUGGUUGAGACGAGCGGAUGAUAGGAUUUCAACGGUGCUUAUUCUGCGGAGGUUGCGCCAAUGAUCGCCGUAUCUUGCAGCACCGAGAGUGGUGUUGUUGUAGUUUACGUACCUGCCCAAGGAGAAAUCAGGGCGGUUCGCGAGAACAAUAUCGUUCUUGGUGAAGCAUUCUUCAACAGCUGACGGUGAUGAGAUGACUAUUGCAAGAUGCGAACCAAGGCGGAGAGACAUGAUGGGACCAUACUUUUGGGAGAGAUUGUUGAGAGAUUUAUGGAUGGGUUGUUUCAGGAGAUGGAGAUGGCCUAUGAUUGGAAAAGAAGGUGGACUUGGUGGAAGGUUUCUGCGCCGUCUUCUUGUUUGUAGCAUCAACUUCACAGCCACAACUAGGAAAAAAGUGAUGACAAUUGUGUAGAGCAUUGUUUCUUCCAUUCUUGUAUAGACUUUCGUUCCAGUGUUGAUGCAAAUUACCAUACUAUAUAACAAAGGGAGCUGUGCGAGGAACAGUCAAAUGCACAGUAAACGGGCAAUUAAUUUGGAGGAUCUUCAAUUACAUUUCUGCCUUCUUCUUCUCCU
rnacentral:misc_RNA from 1 species